CUGGUCUUGACAUCCACGGAAGUUUUCAGAGAUGAGAAUGUGCCUUCGGGAACCGUGAGACAGGUGCUGCAUGGCUGUUGUCAGCUCGUGUUGUGAAAUGUUGGGUUAAGUCCCGCAACGAGCGCAACCCUUAUCCUUUGUUGCCAGCGGUCCGGCCGGGAACUCAAAGGAGACUGCCAGUGAUAAACUGGAGGAAGGUGGGGAUGACGUCAAGUCAUCAUGGCCCUUACGACCAGGGCUACACACGUGCUACAAUGGCGCAUACAAAGAGAAGCGACCUCGCGAGAGCAAGCGGACCUCAUAAAGUGCGUCGUAGUCCGGAUUGGAGUCUGCAACUCGACUCCAUGAAGUCGGAAUCGCUAGUAAUCGUGGAUCAGAAUGCCACGGUGAAUACGUUCC
rnacentral:rRNA from 1 species